GUGGGGAAUAUUGGACAAUGGGCGCAAGUCUGAUCCAGCCAUGCCGCGUGAGUGAUGAAGGCCUUAGGGUUGUAAAGCUCUUUCAGUAGGGAAGAUAAUGACGGUACCUACAGAAGAAGCCCCGGCUAACUUCGUGCCAGCAGCCGCGGUAAUACGAAGGGGGCUAGCGUUGUUCGGAUUUACUGGGCGUAAAGCGCACGUAGGCGGAUUGGUCAGGUAGAGGUGAAAUCCCGAAGCUCAACUUCGGAACUGCCUUUAAUACUGCCAGUCUCGAGUCCGGAAGAGGUGAGUGGAACUCCUAGUGUAGAGGUGGAAUUCGUAGAUAUUAGGAAGAACACCAGUGGCGAAGGCGGCUCACUGGUCCGGUACUGACGCUGAGGUGCGAAAGCGUGGGGAGCAAACAGGAUUAGAAACCCUAGUAGUCC
rnacentral:rRNA from 1 species